GGCUCUUGUUCUCCCCCAACCCAUUACGUGAAUACACGUUUUGAUCUAGGUGUGCUUUGCUAGCACUUUUUUUACCUCCCUACUGGACCUGUCUUCAGAAUGGUGUUUCUUUUAUACGGAGCACUGCCGAAAACAGGAAGACUGAUGGUUGAUAAGCAGCCAGUUGAGUCUACAGCUUGCUCUGACAUCUCCGCUCUGGCUCCAAAUGACACCCUCAUCCUUUCACAUGAGCAACAGAAAGAUUUCAGAUGGUAUUUGUGUGUAAAAGCAAGACAGAGCAACUGUGUACCUUCCUACAAAUUCACAACCACCCUGUUCUUUUCCCUCUCACAGAAUAAGGCCUAGACUCGGAAUAGAAAACAACUGUGAUAAACAAAGUGUUGAUAAAAACCUCACCAUCCUAAUCACAUUAUUCUGGCUGCCCAAUUGCAGGGCCAGUCUAGUGCAAAAGUAGCUUUGGGGCAAAAAGUAUAUUACAUAGCUAAAGAAGCUGAAUUUUAUUUGUACUUUUGUCCAUUUGUAAUGCACAGACAUUUUGGAGGGGCAAGGGCUCAAGGGCAAAAAAGAGCAACAUGAAUGUAAAUUAAACCUCAUUUGAUUUAGGUUUUAUUGCAAUUACUCUUAUCAAGAGACGCAGGGUAAUCAUAUUUCAGAUAAAACCAAGCAUACUCUUAAGAGUUUUUCAAAUGGCAGCCAAAAGCACUGUAGGGAUUUGAACUCCAGUCACAGCAUUCAAAGCCAUGGCAUUACUCACUGCAUGUAAUCGCUUUUUAAUCACCAUGCUGAAUCCAGUAAUAACUCCAUUUAAGAGCUACAUAGAGUCUUAAAACUUGGUGUUACGAAAACGAGAUAUUAGCUUCACGAAUUAUUAACACUCUUCAUUGUCAACAUGUUUGAAUGUUGUUCAAAAUAACCACAUUUUGGAUCGGAGGUGGGCACUGUACCAGAGAACUGAACCCACAAGGCUUUUUCUUGGGGCAACACUGAGCUUAGCCUCACUGAAAUGGAUACAGUAUAUAAAAUAUGUUUUUUAUAUGCACCAACCAAUAGGGCACUUAUACCAUCUUGAGAGCAAAGGGGCAGAGACUGAAGCUCCUGGAUAACAAGCUUUGUCUUUAUAUAUAACAUCUUUAUAUAUAACAGUAUAUCACAUAAUGUCAGCAAUUCCAUAAACUAACAUAGUUGAGAUUCCUUAACGACAUGAUGUGUGAGAAAAUUAUGUAACGAUUCAGGUGUGCAGCCUGAAAGGUGAUACUUGGUACUCUAUAUGCUUCCAUCACUUGUUAGCUACAUUAGCCUUGUAACUCAAGUCCAAAACCAAGGAAGCCAACUUCAGAAACUAAACAUGUUUUGGUUAAUCUACUGCAUUUGUAAAAAUAGUGUAAAUUUUAUUUUUGGCCAAGCUAUCCAGAGCUGUCCUUACUUGGACAUAACAAUGUAUUUGAAAUAAUUACAGCUUCAAUAAAAAUAGUGCUUUUUAAUUCCCUCUUUGGAGCUGAAAUCUCUUCAACAUUAUGUAGACUAGUUCACUUUUUAUUCAUGAUUCAUGAAAGAGCCUUAAUAAAAUGGCUAAAUAGAUAAUUGCUGGCAAUUCACAGAAUUGACAGUCGCACUGGCCCCUAACAGUUUGCCCAAAUGGAUCAUAAGUACAGUAUAAUUUAAAAUGUAUCACCUUCCGUACUGUAAGCUGUUGGUUUUUCCCCGUAUUACAUGCCGACACUCAUGUAUAUAUAUACAUGAGUGUAUAUACAUAUAUAUACAUAUACAUACAGCGUGUAUACAGUAUUUAUAUGGUAUGAAGAAUGGUGUCAUAUAUCAUCAUUUAUACACUGUUGGAUUGCUGAGACAACUUGUGGCUGACUCCAGCCAUAAUGUCAUCUGAGAGGAUCGUAAUCUGCCUAAUCUGUCAUUUUAUCACAUGCCUAUGUAGUGUUUAAGAAACGCAGAGCUGCAUGUCCUGAUCAACUUUCUCACGACUGAAUGUCUAAGAGGUUGUGAGUCAUCAACAUAAAUUUUUUAGGGCAGACAUCUGAAGGGUGAUGCGACGUGACAGCAUGUGAACUUCUGAGGCUGUCAUCCUAGCCGAUCAUGAGAACUGUUCCAAACCAGUUCCUAUUCCAUAGCUGAAGGCACAUUUUCUCCCUUUUUUGACAACCCUGUCUUGUCUGGGGUUCACAGAAACAGAUGUGCUUUAACGCUCGCUGUGAGCUGCUGUAUCUGCGCUGUGCUGUGAGUGAUCGACUGCUGCUAUUAACAGAGUGAGCCAUGAUAUGCUCAAAAAGAAACGGACUUGCUGCUGUGGGUGUUUUGGAGUUCCCCAGUGCAUGUGUGGUGUGUGUGUAUGUGUGUGCAUGUAUGUGUGUUUGUGCAUGUGUGUGUUUUCGUACAUUUUUAGGACCAAAAUUUCCUGACUUUGCAGGACAAAAACAGAAAAACAUUUGUAACCUUUAUAAAAUGGUCCUGUCUUUGUAGAAUGCUUUUUACAAAAGUUCUAAACUAUGAAUUGGAAUGAAAAAUCUUUUUCAUUUUGUUAUUGAGGUUAAGGCUACGGAUGAGGUAUUCAAUAAUUGGGUAUUCUGCAAAAUUCAGUGAACGUGGUAAUGUUGUUGUGCACACUCUGAAAUACCAUCACUGCAUUUCAGUCACGGUUUCACUAGAGAUUUUGUAGAUAUGCAAAGUAGCUCUGGUUUCACAAGCUCUCACUACUCUGUCACAUUCUGCUCACAUGUUAAAUCCCCUCUCUGCUCGGAUGAGAGCUGCUGAUAUAAACAAUCGCAGAGAACACAGAUACAGCAUGGCAGAAGGUGAAGUGGUCCCAGAGCUUUUUACAUGCUCAAAAAAGGUGAAAACUCACAUCACACCAGGCUUGGAGGAGAGAAAAUGCAGGAUCUCACAAAGACAUGCAUGAUUGCAGCCACUAACUGUGUAUAAGUACAACAGGCCUAACAGGCUACAGGGUAAUCCGGUAAUAUUAGAGACAUAAUGAAAGUUGAAAUAUUCGAAAUUUUCACAACAGUAACAGGUGAAGUAUACAAUAUGUAUGUAUAUUCAAAUGCCCGUGUGUAGUCUAGAGCUGUGUAGUAUUAAACCCAGAGUGGAAAGAACACCACUAUCAGCAUGGUGCUAACAUAACACAGCAAACCCAGUGGUGAUGGAAGAAGAGAAAAUUUGUCAAGUGAGUCAAGUGGUCUUUAUUCCCCAGUAUGACCUGUAUAUACUGGAACAAAAAAGCCAUUCUUCAGGCCACAUGGUGCAACACACAACAGCAGAACAUUACACAGGACUACAUAGAGUGCAGAUACACAACAGUGUAAAAAAAAACAUCUAAUUUACAUAACGUUCCACUUAACCCAAAUGCAGUAGAUCAGCCAAGAUAUGUUUGGUGUCCAAACACUAGUAGUCAAUAAUCACCCAAAUGUUUUCCAUAAAUACAUCCCAAAAACUGUUCUCAACCUGCUCAGUCCACAUCCAGAUGUGUUGCACAGACCUGGUGGUGUGGUUUAGGACACAAUAUUGCUUAUUGUACAUAUAAGAACAAAGUUCCCCAUCUAGCUGAACACAGCGAGCAGCCAUUUUAUACAACAGUCAGUGUUAUGCUGAAUUCUGAAUCCAACUCCCCUUCACGUGCACACGCCAUGCAGGCAUAUACACACUAGAUUAGACUUGCGCUUUCUGCUAUUUUUAUUUAUAAGCAAAUACAGUUGUAUACAAAAGUUUGAACACCCCUGGUCAAAUUAUCUGUUGAUUUUCUAAGUGAAAAUAUGUUAGUACAAAUGUUCACAUACAACUAUAUCUUCAGUUUAAAAAUUCAAGAUUAACAGUUAGUUUCCCAAAAGUACAUGAAAAGAGGCAGCAGAAAUAGCAAAUGUACUUGGUAGCACCCAUACGCCUGCAUGUGCACGUCUGCACGCAACGAUCUGUUGAAUUUCGGCACAACACUUGUUGUGUAAAAUGUCUGCCCACAGCAUUCAGAAGUUUUGUUCUUUUUUUACAGUUCACUUUGUCCUAAACUACACUUACAAGUGCAAUGAUGACUGACUGAUCUAGUGUUAACAAUGUAAGCCUUGUGGCUCCAGUGUUGUGUCUUGGCUGACUGUCUACAUGCAGGGUAAGUGAAAAAUUGUAUAAAUUUUGUUUUUUUCACUGAGCCAUUUUUUGUUAAAACACUAUGUAGCUGACUGUCAUGUGUCAGUCUGAUGGUGAGCAAUGAAUGAAGAUUCUACUCUACGUGAUCUUAUUUUUGGACGUGUGUGUGUGUGCGUGUGUGUGUGUGUGUGUAUUUGUGUGUAUGUGUGUGUUUGUUUCUGCUGUUACCACGCUACACUUUCAAAAAGUGGUGGGGACAAGUCCCUAGUGUCCUCAGUGUAAAUUAAAUGUAUGCAUAUGGCACAUAUACAUGACAUCACACCCUGACAUUGUAUAAACACAAACCUGUGUGUGUAUGUGUGUGCAUGCAUGUGCGUCUCUGACUGGCUGUUUUUGUUUUGGAGUGCUCUGGUUAUCUGGGUGACUCAGUCGGGGAAGUGCCUGUCAACAGUAGUCUGCCUGAGGGAGUCAGACACAGAGAGAGGAGUGUGUGUGUGUGUGUGUGUGUGUGUGUGUGUGUGUGUGUGAUUAUACAUAGCCGGCAGGCCCAGUCUGUCAGGUCAUUGAGUUUCUUCAGCGAAGGGGGUUUUGUGUGUGUGUGAGGAGAGGAUGGAUCAGGUGGCAUGCCGGGUGUUGACAGGAAUCUAUGUGUGGCCCGUGUGUGUGUAUGUGUGUCCAGAACCAUGCGGAGCGGGCCAGGACAGGGCAGGAAGUGAAGCAGCAGGAGCAUACUCUUCCCAGACAAAGCCUAAUCAGUGGCCAGCACUGAUUCCUCAUAAACUCACAUACAUACCGACACUCAUGCACACAUGCCUGAUGCUCUGUCUUCCUUUUUUACACGUGUGUGGCCGUGUUUGUUUCGACGCUGGGAAAAUGUCCUCCUGUACAUUGCAGUGCACCUCAAUCCCUGUGCAUUAUCUCCUUGAUAUGAAGCACACUGGGCCUUCACUUGAGUAUUUACAUCAGGGCUGUAGCUACCACCAAUGAAAAUGUUACACAAUAUAAGGUCAUCUUGGCCAGUUAUUGCAUACUUGUGAUUUGUUUCCACUUUAAAUAUAUAAGAGAUUGCUAAAGCUCUUCUUAGGUCAGAAUUUCAUGGUGGACGCUAUGUUUACAUAGCCACCUUCUAUCGUCAAUCACACAAAAAGGCACAGAAAGACAUAUUUUCUCAUGUAAAGAUGCUAUUUAUUAACACAUUAACAUAAUAUUAGCUCCUCCUGUUUCUCCUGAUAAAAUUAGCUAAGCUGUGCCUAGUUCAUAUUGCAACCUAGCUAGCAAGUACUAUUAGCUGACUGGUAAAGAAAACAAGAAUAAGUACAUUGAAAAUAUGUACCAUUUGCUGUAAACAUCUACUCCUAGUGCUAUAAAAGGUACCCUGGAUACCUAGCCUUUACCCUGUGUGGUAUAUGAGGUUGAAGCUGGUUUUGUAUUUUUCAUAUUCACUCAUAUUCAUAUUCUGAUUUUUCAGUGCCAACAGUGCAUCAGUUGAAUGCUGUACUAUUUAAGGUGGAGCGGAACAUUUGAAGAAGAAGCUGCCAAAUGAAAAGCCAACUUCUGUCAGUUUGCUGUCAAUUUUCUAGUACCUAAAAUUAGUCAUUUAAAUGUGUGGAAAGCAAUCAUGUGUUGUGUUCAAAAAUCUUUCUGAUUACAGUCUAUGACCCCCUAAACCUCUGACCAUCCAUCCAUCCAUCCAUCCAUCCAUCCAUCCAUCCAUCCAUCCAUCCAUCCAUCACCCCUUUAAAAUGAAAUUCUACCUACACCACUGAUUUACAAACCAACACAUAAAUGAGACAUUUUCUAACAUUAUAAGCGUAAUCAUUUAGACUUAAUUGUCUUUAAGGUUAUGAAAAGCAUACAUUUAAUAAGGUAAUAGUUUGACUGUUUCUGUAAUUAAGAUCAUUGUCAUUUAUAGAAGACCCACAUUACCAAGAUGUUUGAACAAUAACAACCACAGCUGCUAAACACACUCGUCUGGUGAACUCUGCACUGAUCCUGGACUUUGCAUACUGUAGGUCAGGGUUGGAUGCAUUUUUAAUGCUUGGCCGCGGUCGAAGAGUCAUUUUUAACAUAUUCAACUUCAGCUCCAUGUGGUGCAGCAUGUUUUCCACAUGCUGGAGUUCAGAUGUCACAGGGUGAAGCGUUGUAUUGUGCAGAUCGCAAGCAAAGAGCACAACUCAAGAUUGAUUGCACUGUGUAAGGGCAUGAAGAAAGUAUGUUCUGUAUAGGAGACAUCGAAAUGCAAAACUGAUGUAUUGAAGGGGCUGAUUCAUGGUGAGUGCCGCAGGUGAAGAAGAGAACCAGAGAGCUGAUGGUGAUAGACAUCUGUCCAUAGAUUCUAUGGGUCAUUGCAAGUGAAGAUUAUGGCAUCCUACCAGUCCAAAAGUGCAAAAGUAAAAAUGAAGGAUAAAAGGUUACACCCCUGGAAGCAGGUUGUAACAGGGCCUCUUCCUGAGGAAGACACGACCCUAUCUGAACAGCCUGCCGUGUUAGUCAAACAGGAUGUUUGCGGAGAGAUGCAGAGGUGCCACAGGCACCUGCAGUGAGAGUGCACAGACGGUCUACAUCAGAUCAACAUGUUUACACCACCGCUGAGGAUCACCACUUCUGUUACUGAAACCACGUGCUGUACGAACUGACUGUUCGAGAGGAUGUACACAGAGCAGCAUGGAGCGGAAGCGCUGUUUGUGUCUAAACGGUCUUUAGGAGGUUUACACGUCUGUUUUACAUGUGAUUUCUCUUCUCUUGUAUGAGCUGUAUUGUAGAACAGGAAGGUGUGUGCUAGAUAAGCUGUGGUUGUGCAGUAGUGAGCGUUACAGAGCGUAUAUGAGAGCAUGAGAUGAACAUCAAAAUCAGACAUAUAGGCUGAGUUGAGUGUUGAAGGGAUGACAUAGCAAAGUGUCCCGUUCUGAGUGGCUGGAAUCCAAAACAGUUUGAAGAUUUUCCUCAUCAAACUUGCCUACUAAACAUGGUAACUAACUGCUGAGUUGGACCAGUUGCGUUUGAGAAGGGAAACUACCAAACUGUGCUGGACUAAGGCCCUCCAGGACCAAAGCUGGACACCCCUGGGACAACUCAACUUACUCUUAUUAAAUUGACUUAUUAUUAUUGUCAUAUUACUUUAGAAGGAGUUAUUUCAUUUCUUACAAGCUUAAGGCACUUUCACACCUAUGCUGUUUAGUGUAGACUAACUGAACAUUCUUCUUAGUUUGGUCCAUUUUAACAUGUGUGAACAGGCCACCUGGCACACUAAACAACUGCACCAUGAUCCGUUAAAAAUUGAGGGUCUCAGUUCACUCCAAACUGAUGGAAUACAUUUCUUUGAGGAUCUGCAUCAAAUGAGGGAAUUCGCCAUCAAAACAUGCUUUUCUCUGUGGAUGUUAGUGCUGUACUCUCUGCCUAAACUUUAUGUUGUUACAUUUGAUACUGUACAGAUGCUUGUUGUUCUUGCAGCAGAUGAACAAUAACACAGUAUUUGGUUUUGUCACAUGGACUGCAGAACAUGUUUUUCAGUAAAAGGAGCCAGAAAUCAGGCAUGAUUUAAUUGAAGGGGAUGAAAUUUAACCAGUCAGACUCAAGACCAAGACUGUGGGAUCAGGGAUCUAGCACUGCUCAGACCCAAUGUUUUGUAGAUUCAAUUUGAAUCUGUCUGUUUCUUUGAGGAACAAGGCUUCCUGGCUUUUAGUUCUUUGCAAAAAUUGCUUACUGGUCUGUCCUUUAAGCCAAAAAUGAAAUGCUUACUGAAAAAUACUGCACAAAUAUGAAGUGUUUUUUGUUCCAUAGACUGGAUUUGAAAAUACCUGAAGUGAGAGAAAAAGACCAUCUCCAUAAUAUGCUAUAUUAUAAACACAACAAUACAUGCUGUGUAGUCCAUGGUUGUACAGCUGAGAGAAGAACGUCAGAGCAGUAUUGUGACACUGUGAGAUGAACAAUGAAGUCAGACCUAUUGGCUGAUUUGAGUGCUGAAGUGAUGAUUUGACAAGGGUGUCUGUUUCUGGUCCUGGAGGGCUGAAUUGAGGGAAAUAUGGAAACUUUUUGUUUGAGAGAGUCUGAGAGAAAGAUCACAUCUUCUCUCAACAAAGAUUUCGCACUUCUUUUUUAGGUUUAUAUGCUUGGGGUUAGUGUUCUGCAUGGGAUUAUUGUUCUGUUGUAUUGAGAGAAAAACCACGCCAUCUCUACAUAAAGUUUCUUAUGGUGAAAGUUUCACAUUUCCCCAUCUUCCUGUCUCCACCUUUUUCCUCUUACCAUUUAUGCUUUUCUCCUAGUCCCUCAGUACUCAGUCCUUAUACCAUAGUGCAGUACAAUCACACUACAACACCCCUCAAUUUUUGUUAAAUGCAAAGACAAUUAGUAUUGAAAAUAACACCCAUCCAGUGGCUCAUAACAAAUGUUGAGAAUAUGUGAUGCUACACUUUCUUGGUCUAUAUGACAGCAAUUUGCUUCAUGUGCAUUUGAGUCUAGUCUCAAGUCUGUGGGGUGUGAGUCCUUCUCGAGUGUGUGAUUGUUUAGUUGUGUAGUAAAGUCAUUCAUUGCAGUUCAAUUAACUCCUUAAAUGGCCAGGGCCCACCAACAAGCCCAGUGUUUUAUUAAACACUUCUAUCUACGAGUAGCUCAGCCAGUUUGCAUUAAACUCCCAAUAGUUACUGAAUAGUGAGUGUUAACUUCAGUUAUUGCAGAUGGUUUAAGGAAAAAGAAAAAUGGAAGCACUUUGCAUCACAUCGCACAAAGACAGGCUGGUUCUAUCUAGGAUCCUUGUACUAGCACCUCUCUGGUCCACGGCCCAGACACCAACCUUGAAUAUCCAAUCAUUUCUGGGAUUCCAAUCAGUUACCAUCUUUUAUCAAUAGCCCACCCACUUGUUGUUUAAAAUAGAAAUAAUUUUGCAUUAAGAAUAGGAUGGCUGCACUGUUCCAAUGCCUUUAUGCCAGUGCCACCAUAAAGAACCCAUUCUGAGCUGAGUGAUCUCAGAGAGAUGUUGCUCCAGGGACGUGAGACAACGUUUAAUCUCUUGUUUUACAGCUCUGACUGAAAGUGAUGAAAGAUUUACAUUUGCUGGUAUCACCUCCCCCUCUAUUCUAAUUCUCUGCUUCUCAGACGCAUGACUGUUUGUUUGCAGUAGGGGCUUUGCCAGACAAAACAAUGACACACACAUACAUGCUCAUACACACACAUGCCCGUCCGUUCCUCCUCAUAGCUGUCUCAGAAGUGUGUCAGCUCCUGGGCUGAGGUGUCUCACUCCAUGGCAAGCUGUUGUCUCCUCCAGCAGAGCUGGCACUCACAUGUGCUUUUUGAUGUGUUUUCUUUUCAUUAAGAGUUGCCACAAAUGAGAGCAAAAACCCUGCAUAGCUCUUCAAAGCCUGGCAUCAUUUGACCCUGUAGGCCAGCAACAGGUGAGAAGUGAGGACGAGAUCCUGCAGGGACAACAGGAGAGCAUUUGGAGAAUGAGGAACAGGCGCAACUUUAGGAUAUUACACAAACUUUAGGUGUUUUCUACAGUUUUCUGUGGAUAGUUUUGAAACAGUAUGAAAAGCAUCAGGUUAGUGGUCAGUUCCACAUGCUGUAUUGUGGUUAGUCUGUGGUAGCGCAAUAGAGAGGGUGACGUCAGACCAUAGCUCAACCCAGUCUGAGAUGUAAGACAUAUUGACUUAUUUUAGCAGUGACGCAUAGUGCUGCUUCUUCUGAUCUACUAUUGGUACAGUGGUUCACAAAUAUGUGCAGGCAUUGCGCAUUUUGGUGCUUGCUAUGUACGCUCAUCAUGCAUGUGAAGUCUAGUUAGAAAAGUUAUUUAAGUGACACUUUCAUUAAAAUGAGCAAAUAUUCACGUAAUAUUUAGAGCAAGAUAACAUGCCUGUUUGCAUAUGGUGUCCUUGAGAGCCUUGAGACUAAACCUCUAGGUAAGCUAGUAAACAGUUGCCAAGUAAGCCUAGCUAUAGUGGCUAGCCCAUAGAAGUCGAGUGGUUACUGUCAUUUUGUUGUACUAUGUAAAUAUACUGUAAUUACACUCAUACAAAGGAAAUGCAUAGUUAGUUAGUAAAGAAUUCCUAUUUUAAUUUACAUUCUUUGUCAACAGAACUUAUUUCUGUUUCAAUCUCAGUAAAUAACAAACAAGUGGCAAAAAUGUAAAUAAUGCUUUUUCUGCUAAAUAAGACUGUAUGGUCUCUAAAUUCAAAUAAGAAUAAAACGUCUCUUGUAUUUAUGAA